AUGGCCUGGAUGCCUCUCCUCAUAAUGAUCCUCUCUCACUGCACAGGAUCCUGGGCCCAGUCUGAGCUGACUCAUCUGUCUUCAGUGUCUGGGGCACUGGGCCAGAGCAUCGUCAUCACCUGUGCUGGAAGCAGCUCCAACAUCGGGGGUUAUAAUGUGCAAUGGUACCAAGAGCUCCCAGGAACAACCCCCAAACUCCUGAUACAUGAUAACAGCAAUAGACCCUCAUGGGUCCCUGAUCGAUUCCCAGGCUCCAAAUCUGGCACCUCGGGCUCGCUGACCAUCACUGGGCUACAGCCUGAGGACGAGGCUGAGUACCACUGCCAGUCACAAAGCAGCAGUCACCUGCUCUUCUUGAUGAGGGCAUCACCCUCAUGA